UUUUAUUCCUCGUAUCUUCUAAACUCAAACCCUGAUGAACAUCAUGGAGAAACUUUGUGCAGGACCAAGGGUAACAAAAGAAGCAAGAUCCAAGAAAAUGCACCAAGAAUUAAGCAACAUGGACAGCCUCCCACGGGAGAUUGCUCUUGAUAUACUAUCAAGAUUACCUAUAACUUCUUUAAUCCAGAUUAAGUGGGUAUGUCGUUCUUGGCGCAGCUUAGCACAAGACCCUCUUCUUGCUACCAUGCAUUUAUCUCGCAUGAAUGACAAUGAUCCAGGUCUUAUCUUGCACUGUGACUUGCCCCUCCAAAACCAUCUCUAUUCUCUGCAUCUUUCUGCUCCAGAUAUAGUGACUAGACUUCGUGGGCCUAUGAUCUCUGAGUUCGCCAUAGUUGGCUCUUGUAAUGGUUUAUUGUGCCUUUGGCAUUCACUAUACAAAGAUAAAUGUUAUAUAUACAAUCCUUUUACCAGGGAUUUCAAAGAGCUGCCUAGACCAGAACAGUUUCAGACACAAACACGAGUUGCAAUGGGAUUUGGUUUCCAUCCAGGGACCAAAGAGUACAAGGUGGUCAGGAUUGUCUAUUACAGGAACGAAGAUGAAGCCUCCAGUUUCCAAGUACGAAGAUAUUUACCAGAAUCAAAUGUGCAAGUUUUAACUCUUGGCAGUGGCAGGUCCACCUGGAGAAGCAAAGGGAAAACGUGUUACCAAAUCCUUGGAAGUGGCCGUCCAUACCAAUCCAAUGUUUUGUUAAAUGGAAGACUUCAUUGGUUGACAUGCAGGCACAGGCAUCAGUCACUUCGUCUACUGGUCUCCUUUGACUUGGCAGAUGAGCAAUUCCAGGAGGUUCCAAAUCCCGAUGGGAUGUUUGGCAGGCGUUGCUCUCAUCUGGCGAUUCUAAGAGGUUAUCUUUCAGCCAUAGUUCAAGGUUUUAGACGGCUUUCCAUUUGGGUUAUGAAAGAAUAUGGGGUAAAGGAGUCUUGGGUCAAGGAAUUCAACAUAGGAGAUCACUUGCCGAGACACAUGGAUCUAAAUCAAGAACAGUUCAUCUAUAUUCCAGAGUACCCAAUAAAUUGUUCACAAGCUCGAGUUUUAUGCCUUCUUAAAAAUGGUGAGAUAUUGCUAGAAUAUAAGAGGAGAUCACUGUUUUCUUGUGACCUAAAAUCUGGGGCAUUUAGG
rnacentral:misc_RNA from 1 species